AAAAUGCAAAUUACAUAUUUAAUCAAUCUGAAUAAAUAAUUGUUGUUUUAUUUAUUAGUUUAUGUAUUGUUGAGUCUAUUUCUAUUAAAGAAAUUAAGUUGUUCGUGAUUUUUUCUUUGAUUUGCGACAAUUGCCAUAAAAUGCGCAGUUCCGUAGCGAAUGUCAACAUGUCCAGGUCGUUUCCCGUAGAUAACCCCGAGAGGAUUGUUUUGUAAAAUAUACAAGCCGUAAACAUUAUUGAAGCAUUGUAGAAGCCCAGGGAUGAUUAAAACAAUUUUAAGUCACCCAUUUCUUUAUGCCCGGGACACCCGAUCAACCAAAGGAAACUUGAACUGUUGAAGGUCACAAACAUGCGAGAUUGCAGACCCACGUUGCCUCGAUCGCUUGAUGUCAUGUCGGGUCACUGUGCAGUGAGAUUGUACAUGAGCAAACAGCCCUACAGUACUUAAUUUACCCAGGAGUAGACUACUUGUAGUUGAAGGUAGACUGAAGGCCAGACUUAGGCAGGAUGAUUGAAAAAAAUCUGCUUGCAGAUGGACUACUAAGGCAAACAAAUUGGACUCUCAGGAGGUGAACAGAUGUUCAGCAAGAAAUUCGCACAUCAAAUGCUGUGAAUUACACUGAUAUCCCCCCCCCCCC